ensembl:antisense
GGCCGCCGCAACGCACGUGAUCGCGGGUGGACACGGCCCUCCCAGGGCUCUAGUACCGAGGUGAAGAAUGGCGUGGGGGUACCGAGGGCAAUGACGAAUGGCGAGACGCCUGGAUACGAGUCACUUGCCCUAAAUGAACACCUUUCUCCAACCAAGCCAACCUCCGAACAAGUCCCGAUCCUCAAGGCCAGACCGCCGUGGAAACCCAGCGAUCCCCUCUGCAGCCCCCGCCCCUCCGGGAGCCCCUUCUGCGUCACCGUGACACCUCGUCCCACGUAGGUGUCCCCCUUCCAGCCCGCCCCAGUGCCCCACGGCCGGUCCUCACCCGCGGCCGCCGCGCCACACUCUGCUGGACUCGCUCGUUCACGGCCCGCAGCGCGAACCCGACUCCCAGCUCCGCCGUCAUGCUGCCACCUCUCAACAUUCCCCAGAGGAUGCCCGGAGGACCCGCGACUCACCGAGACCACCUUCCGGUCCCGCCCCCUUUCUGAGAGGUCCAAUCGCCGCUCACCAUCCAGCCACUUCCCCCCAGCGGAGGUUGGCCACCCAGGCGGGCGCCAUCUUGGGGAGGGCGGAGGUUACCCGGGCUGAAAGCCUAGGGAGUUCAAGGGCUGGGCGGGCCGAUAUAAACCAAGACAUUAAAGUAACUUUCAUUUAUCCA